CCUACGGGUGGCAGCAGUGAGGAAUAUUGGUCAAUGGACGAGAGUCUGAACCAGCCAAGUAGCGUGAAGGAUGACUGCCCUAUGGGUUGUAAACUUCUUUUAUAUGGGAAUAAAACGUUCCACGUGUGGGAUUUUGUAUGUACCAUAUGAAUAAGGAUCGGCUAACUCCGUGCCAGCAGCCGCGGUAAUACGGAGGAUCCGAGCGUUAUCCGGAUUUAUUGGGUUUAAAGGGAGCGUAGGUGGAUUGUUAAGUCAGUUGUGAAAGUUUGCGGCUCAACCGUAAAAUUGCAGUUGAAACUGGCAGUCUUGAGUACAGUAGAGGUUGGCGGAAUUCGUGGUGUAGCGGUGAAAUGCUUAGAUAUCACGAAGAAAUCCGAUUGCGAAGGCAGUUCACUGGACUGCAACUGACACUGAGGCUCGAAAGUGUGGGUAUCAAACAGGAUUAGAUACCCUAGUAGUC
rnacentral:rRNA from 1 species